AUGAUUCCAUCCCCACCGGCACAAACCAUGGUGGUUUUCACUAUGGUUCCCCACCAGGAAGGUUGGGAGCAGGUUGCAUAAUCCACCACCCGCAGGAGGCCUUGCUGCAGGUCAUCAGGAAGGGGUCCAUUAGCUGAGAGAGGAGAAACACAGAGUCAUGGUACCAGCUGGCACUGAAGGAAGAAUAAAACUGCCCUGCUAAAUUUCUCUUGGUGUCUGGGUACCAUCACUCCAGACCAAGCUGCAUGUGCUUUAGCAUGCCAGACUUCUUCAAGAAACCAGACUCUAAUCACUUUGAAGUGGAACAUGCUUCAAGCCAUACAAAGAAACAACUGUCCCUGAUGAAGCAGAAAUGCUGGAAUGUUGUGGCCUAAACAGUCUUCCUUGGACUCCAUGGGUGUCAUCUGCUGGCAGUUCUGCCAGGAAACAUCAAAUGGCUCAGCCUCCAGCUGAUACCAUGGUGGAAAUAGCCCCCUGGAAUCUCUUGUCACCUUCAUGCCAGAUUUUUCACAGAAAUUAAGUAGCUCAUGGAACUUUGGUGAGAAAGAGAAGGGGCUUCUGGUGUGUUCUGUUACAGCAGAAUAGUAAAUAUCUCCUUCAAUACACAAUGUACCUGUGUACAAUUUAAAACAGAUUCUGUUGCUUCCCUGUCUUUAUUCCCUUGAAGGGCAGUAACUCUGCUAUACUGAUUAGUAAAUGGAAUUGGCUGCAGAAAAGUUAGACACUGAAAUCUGCUUUCCUGAGGGAUGUUUUUCAUCUGCAACCAGACAGUAACCCCUCUGAAAAUUUGAAGUUAAAUCCUGAUCCAGUUUUUCCUUGGGCCCACCAACUGUGCCAAAUUUAUUACUUGCUGGAUGGCUGUUAAAUGUGCUGCUUGAUGGUUCCCUGGGAUCAUUUCUGUGUAAAGCCUGGCCUUCAUUCCUCAGGAUAGAACACGGCUGUACUGAGCAGGGA